rnacentral:tRNA from 1 species
GUAGACAUAGUGUAAUCAAAACGCUAGAUUGUGAUUCUGGAAAUAAGGGUUAAACUCCCCUUGUCCACC